GAUGAAGAACGCAGUGAAAUGCGAUACGUAAUGUGAAUUGCAGAAUUCAGUGAAUCAUCGAGUCUUUGAACGCACAUUGCGCCCCCUGGUAUACCGGGGGGCAUGCCUGUCCGAGCGUCAUUGCUGCCCUCAAGCACGGCUUGUGUGUUGGGCCUCCGUCCUCCUCCCGGGGGACGGGCCCGAAAGGCAGCGGCGGCACCGCGUCCGGUCCUCGAGCGUAUGGGGCUUCGUCACCCGCUCUUGUAGGCCCGGCCGGCGCUUGCCGACACAUCAAUCUUUUUUCCAGGUUGACCUCGGAUCAGGUAGGGAUACCCGCUGAACUUAAGCAUAUCAAUAAGCGGAGGA
rnacentral:misc_RNA from 1 species